GACGGAGGAUGCAAGUGUUAUCCGGAAUCACUGGGCGUAAAGCGUCUGUAGGUGGUUUAAUAAGUCAACUGUUAAAUCUUGAGGCUCAACUUCAAAAAUCGCAGUCGAAACUAUUAGACUAGAGUAUAGUAGGGGUAAAGGGAAUUUCCAGUGGAGCGGUGAAAUGCGUAGAGAUUGGAAAGAACACCAAUGGCGAAAGCACUUUACUGGGCUAUCACUGACACUGAGAGACGAAAAGCUAGGGUAGCAAAUGGG
rnacentral:rRNA from 1 species